AAAAUCCAAUGUUAGAAUUUAACAAGAAAAUGAUACAUUAGCCAAUUUCUGAACUGACAUAGUGAAAUAUAGGAUAAGUAGGAUUUUUCUUUAACAAGUUAACCAUACCUCUCAGGUGCCAAGUUGUUUAAAAGUAGAUAGAGGGAUUCCUAAAACAACAAAUACCAGUUUGAAAGAAAAAAGAAACCCAGGUGGCGGUGGGAAGAAAUGUCCACAUAAGUCAUGGUCAUAAGCUGAAAAGAGUUACCUUACAUAUUAAUCAAAUGUCAAAGACUUCUCA